UGUUGGCCAGGCUCUCGAGUACCCUCGAGUAGCACUCCAGAAUCGCGUAUCCCACGUCCUGAAGUGUAAGGAAAACAAGGUCCACCAUUGACAGGAACUGAUGAGGAUCGAAAUACUCAAGAGUUAUGCUCUUGUAGAGUGAAUCGCCAAGGCUUGCUCUGCCAUUCUGCACAAUUCAGGUAACAAAAUCGAUCGGGUUUUCAAGAAUGCAGCAGUGCUAUCUAGCUAGUGUGUUCUUAGCUCUCUCACCUUUGGGAGUGCUUCAAUGCAUUUCCUUGCUGAAUCUGACAGGCCACCCGGUGGAACCUUAACCGUGGGGAGCCACCAUUUCUCGCUCUUCUGGACGCCUCUCUCUGAUUCAUCCGCGUCUUUCGAGACAUACCAGAACUCAUUCUGGUCUGAGAAUUCAUCUAAGCAGUCCUGCCCAAAUUUUCGGAUGAUAUAUCAUAUAAUCUAACAGUUCACCACAUGUCAAUAUUGCAUCAGGGAAUUUGCAGGUUCUUACAAUGAGCAUGGCAUCAAGCUUCUUCAAUGCAGACAUAGGCUCCAGCUUGGAUUGUUCUCCAAAAACAGAAGCUAUAGAAAACCAGAGAGGAAACAAAUCAAGAAUCUACAAAAAAAGAC